rnacentral:rRNA from 1 species
UACAGAGGUCUCAAGCGUUGUUCGGAUUCAUUGGGCGUAAAGGGUGCGUAGGUGGCGGGGUAAGUCAGGUGUGAAAUUUCGGAGCCUAACUCCGAAACUGCAUUUGAUACUGCCUUGCUUGAGGACUGGAGAGGAGACUGGAAUUCACGGUGUAGCAGUGAAAUGCGUAGAGAUCGUGAGGAAGACCAGUGGCGAAGGCGGGUCUCUGGGCCGAUACUGACGCUGAGGAGCGAAAGCGUGGGGAGCGAACAGG